rnacentral:lncRNA from 1 species
CCAUCUUAUUCAAGGCCAUUAUAAAAGCCACGGAUUGUUCCGAAAGUCUUCAACUUUUGGAGAAAGAUUUU